rnacentral:tRNA from 1 species
UGGCGCGUAGCACAGUAGGUAGUUGCGGGUGACUGUUAAUCACCAUGUCGCUGGUUCGACCCCAGCCGCGCCAGCCA